AGAGUUUGAUCCUGGCUCAGAAUUAACGCUGGCAGAGUGCAUAACACAUGCAAGUCGAGCGAGACCCGCAAGGGUCUAGCGGCAGACGAGUGAGUAACACGUAAAGAAUCUACCCUUGAAUGGUGGACAACCAGCCGAAAGGCCGGCUAAUACACCGUACUCUCCCCGGAAGGCAUCUUCUGGGGAGGAGAGAUUCGCAAGAAUCGUUCUUGGAGGACUUUGCGGCCCAUCAGCUAGUUGGCGGUGUAAUAGACCACCAAGGCUACGACGGGUACCCGGCCUGAAAGGGCGGACGGGCACGAUGGCACUGAGACACGGGCCAUACUCCUACGGGAGGCAGCAGUGGGGAAUUUUGGACAAUGGGCGAAAGCCUGAUCCAGCAACUCUGCGUGAGGGACGAAGGCCUUCGGGUCGUAAACCUCUUUUAUGUGGGAAGAAUACCAGCAAUGGUUCGACGGUACCACGUGAAUAAGCCACGGCUAACUAUGUGCCAGCAGCCGCGGUAAGACAUAGGUGGCAAGCGUUAUUCGGAAUUACUAGGUGUAAAGCGAGUGUAGGCGGACGAUUAAGUCCGAUGUUAAAUCUCCAGGCUUAACUUGGAGUCGCAUCGGAUACUGGUCGCCUCGAGUGGGGUAGGGGGCAGCGGAAUUCCCGGUGUAGCGGCGAAAUGCGUAGAUAUCGGGAGGAACACCUAUGGCGAAAGCAGCUGCCUGGGCCUUUACUGACGCUAAGACUCGAAAGCUGGGGGAGCAAACAGGAUUAGAUACCCUGGUAGUCCCAGCUGUAAACGAUGGUAACUAGAUGUGGGAGGUAUCGACCCCUUCCGUGUCGUCGCUAACGCUUUAAGUUACCCACCUGGGGAGUACGGCCGCAAGGUUAAAACUCAAAGGAAUUGACGGGGGCCCGCACAAGCGGCGGAGCAUGUUGCUUAAUUCGACGCAACGCGAAGAACCUUACCAAGGUUUGACAUCACCCGGAAACGCUCAGAGAUGGGCGCCUCUUCGGACUGGGUGACAGGUGGUGCAUGGCUGUCGUCAGCUCGUGUCGUGAGAUGUUGGGUUAAGUCCCGCAACGAGCGCAACCCUUGUUCCAUGUUGCCAGCACGCUCCUUCGGGGGUGGUGGGGACUCAUGGGAGACUGCCGGGGUCAACUCGGAGGAAGGUGGGGAUGACGUCAAGUCAUCAUGCCCCUUAUGUCUUGGGCUGCAAACAUGCUACAAUGGCCGGUACAGAGGGCUGCUAAACCGUGAGGUGGAGCGAAUCCCUAAAAGCCGGUCUCAGUUCGGAUUGGGGUCUGCAACUCGACCCCAUGAAGUCGGAGUCGCUAGUAAUCGCAGAUCAGCAACGCUGCGGUGAAUACGUUCCCGGGCCUUGUACACACCGCCCGUCACGUCACGAAAGUCGGCAACACCCGAAGCCCGUGGCCCAACCACCUUGUGUGGGGGGAGCGGUCGAAGGUGGGGCUGGCGA
rnacentral:rRNA from 1 species